rnacentral:rRNA from 1 species
AUUGAACGCUGGCGGAAUGCUUUACACAUGCAAGUCGAACGGCAGCACGGGGGCAGCCCUGGUGGCGAGUGGCGAACGGGUGUGUAAUACAUCGGAACGUGCCCGGUCGCGGGGGAUAACGUCGCGAACGUUACGCUAAUACCGCAUACGUUCUGAUGAUGAAAGCGGGGGACCUUCGGGCCUCGCGCGCUCGGACCUGCCGAUGUCAGAUUAGGUAGUUGGUGGGGUAAAGGCCUACCAAGCCGACGAUCUGUCUCUGGUCUGAGAGGACGACCAGCCACACUGGGACUGAGACACGGCCCAGACUCCUACGGGAGGCAGCAGUGGGGAAUUUUGGACAAUGGGCGCAAGCCUGAUCCAGCCAUUCCGCGUGGAGGACGAAGGCCUUCGGGUUGUAAACUGCUUUUGUCCGGAACGAAACGGCUCUGACUAAUACCUGGUGUUCAUGACGGUACCGUAAGAAUAAGCACCGGCUAGCUACGUG